rnacentral:rRNA from 1 species
AGUGAACGCUGGCGGUAGGCCUAACACAUGCAAGUCGAACGGCAGCACAGUAAGAGCUUGCUCUUACGGGUGGCGAGUGGCGGACGGGUGAGGAAUACAUCGGAAUCUACUUUUUCGUGGGGGAUAACGUAGGGAAACUUACGCUAAUACCGCAUACGACCUACGGGUGAAAGCAGGGGAUCUUCGGACCUCGCGCGAUUGAAUGAGCCGAUGUCGGAUUAGCUAGUUGGCGGGGUAAAGGCCCACCAAGGCGACGAUCCGUAGCUGGUCUGAGAGGAUGAUCAGCCACACUGGAACUGAGACACGGUCCAGACUCCUACGGGAGGCAGCAGUGGGGAAUAUUGGACAAUGGGCGCAAGCCUGAUCCAGCCAUACCGCGUGGGUGAAGAAGGCCUUCGGGUUGUAAAGCCCUUUUGUUGGGAAAGAAAAGUAGCAGGUUAAUACCCCGCUGUUCUGACGGUACCCAAAGAAUAAGCACCGGCUAACUUCGUG